UAAGACGGAGGUGGCAAGCGUUGUUCGGAAUUACUGGGCGUGAAGGGCGUGUAGGCGGCCUGUUAAGUUAGGUGUGAAAGACCAUGGCUCAACCAUGGAAUUGUGCUUAAAACUGGCGGGCUUGAGUAUAGGAGAGGAGAGUGGAAUUCCCAGUGUAGCGGUGAAAUGCGUAGAUAUUGGGAGGAACACCGGUGGCGAAGGCGGCUCUCUGGACUAAUACUGACGCUGAGGCGCGAAAGCCAGGGGAGCGAACGGGAUUAGAUACCCCGGUAGUCCUGGCUGUAAACGAUGGACACUAGGUGUGGGAGGUAUCGAAUCCUUCUGUGCCGGAGCUAACGCAUUAAGUGUCCCGCCUGGGGAGUACGUUCGCAAGAAUA
rnacentral:rRNA from 1 species